GACGAACGCUGGCGGCGUGCUUAACACAUGCAAGUCGUACGGUAAGGCCCUUUCGGGGGUACACGAGUGGCGAACGGGUGCGUAACACGUGAGUAACCUGCCCACAACUUUGGGAUAACGCUAGGAAACUGGUGCUAAUACUGGAUAUGUGCUCCUGCUGCAUGGUGGGGGUUGGAAAGCUCCGGCGGUUGUGGAUGGACUCGCGGCCUAUCAGCUUGUUGGUGGGGUAGUGGCCUACCAAGGCGGCGACGGGUAGCCGGCCUGAGAGGGUGACCGGCCACAUUGGGACUGAGAGACGGCCCAGACUCCUACGGGAGGCAGCAGUGGGGAAGAUUGCACAAUGGGCGCAAGCCUGAUGCAGCAACGCCGCGUGCGGGAUGACGGCCUUCGGGUUGUAAACCGCUUUCAGCAGGGACGAAGCUUUUUGUGACGGUACCUGCAGAAGAAGCACCGGCUAACUACGUG
rnacentral:rRNA from 1 species